rnacentral:rRNA from 1 species
GGGGAAUAUUGCACAAUGGGCGCAAGCCUGAUGCAGCCAUGCCGCGUGUAUGAAGAAGGCCUUCGGGUUGUAAAGUACUUUCAGCGGGGAGGAAGGUGUUGUUGUUAAUAACCGCAGCAAUUGACGUUACCCGCAGAGGAAGUCCCGGCUAACUCCGUGCCAGCAGCCGCGGUAAUACGGAGGAUGCGAGCGUUAUCCGGAUUUAUUGGGUUUAAAGGGUGCGCAGGCGGGCUUUUAAGUCAGCGGUGAAAUCUGGACGCUUAACGUCCAAACUGCCGUUGAAACUGGGAGUCUUGAGUAUGGAUGAAGUAGGCGGAAUUCGUUGUGUAGCUGUGACAUGCAUAGAUAUAACGAGGAACUCCGAUUGCGUAGGCAGCUUACUCAGCCAUAACUGACGCUCAUGGACGAAAGCGUGGGGAUCAAACA